CGAGCGGCAUGCAAUUAGCCACAAUAACGUUAAUGCGUUGUUGGGGGAACAAAGAGGCAAAAACAGACUGGCGGUGCAACGGGGAGCGGGGUGCUAAUGGUAGGGGAGCGGCACAUUUGAACAGACAGGAGACCAAAUCGGAAAGAUGAUCAAAUGGACAAAGAAUUACAGUUUAGUUUUUUUCCCCCUCUAAUUACCCGACACUUUCAUGUGACAACCGACGGAGGGAGUUUUGAAUUCAAGUCAACUCCGGUCAGCGGUCUUUGGGCCUCACACUGAGUUAGCAGGCUACCAUCUGGUCCAUGCAGGAUGACUAACAGAGCAACAGUAAACAAACAACACUCUCGCGACUCUCCAAAAUAGUUUUCGAGAAGCUGUUGAAGUCCCAG